AGAUCAACAAAGCAGAGAUUUUAACCAAAAUUAUGUUCCUGUUUAAGUUGGUGUUGAAGAGGGAUUCCAGAACCAAUCGAUCUCUUCUGAUUCUCUGCUUCAUUAACAGUAGCACAGAUUUAACAAUUCAAGCAAGCACAGUUGAGCUCUGGACCAGUUCAGAGAAGACAUGACAUUAGAACAGAUGAGGUAACUGAGGCACAGA